CAGUCGCCACGGUAAUACGUAGGCAGCGAGCGUUGUUCGGAAUUACUGGGCGUAAAGAGUGUGUAGGCGGUGCUAUAAGUUCGGUGUGAAAUCUCCCGGCUCAACUGGGAGGGUGCGCCGAAAACUGUAGUGCUCGAACGUGGGAGAGGAAAGCGGAAUUCCUGGUGUAGCGGUGAAAUGCGUAGAUAUCAGGAGGAACACCUGCGGUGUAGACGGCUUUCUGGACCAUUGUUGACGCUGGGACACGAAAGCGUGGGUAGCAAACAGGAUUAGAUACCCCCGUAGUCCCUGUCUCUUAUAU
rnacentral:rRNA from 1 species